rnacentral:rRNA from 1 species
AUUGAACGCUGGCGGCAGGCCUAACACAUGCGAGUCGAGCGGAUGAAGGGAGCUUGCUCCUGGAUUCAGCGGCGGACGGGUGAGUAAUGCCUAGGAAUCUGCCUGGUAGUGGGGGAUAACGUCCGGAAACGGGCGCUAAUACCGCAUACGUCCUGAGGGAGAAAGUGGGGGAUCCUCGGACCUCACGCUAUCAGAUGAGCCUAGGUCGGAUUAGCUAGUUGGUGGGGUAAAGGCCUACCAAGGCGACGAUCCGUAACUGGUCUGAGAGGAUGAUCAGUCACACUGGAACUGAGACACGGUCCAGACUCCUACGGGAGGCAGCAGUGGGGAAUAUUGGACAAUGGGCGAAAGCCUGAUCCAGCCAUGCCGCGUGUGUGAAGAAGGUCUUCGGAUUGUAAAGCACUUUAAGUUGGGAGGAAGGGCAGUAAGUUAAUACCUUGCUGUUUUGACGUUACCAACAGAAUAAGCACCGGCUAACUUCGUG